CCGCAGUCUCACAAAAGUUGGGUCACUGUCCUUGCUCUGUACGUCUAUGGCGGAGUCUGAAAGAACCAAAAGUAAAGUCUGACGGAGAACAACAGCAGCCUUUUUCUGAUGGCCCCGACCACACUCAACCCCAGAGACCUGUGUCUUCUGUCAUCAGCAUGCAGACAGGGACAAUGUAUAUCUAAAUUUAGACCUCCAUGUUGCUUCACAGACCUGAAUUCAACUCAGUCAUUUUCCUCUGAAGUUGUGACAAAGACAGUAGUGCAUCACAUUCAUAUAGCACUUUUCCAGGUCCUCAAAAAUGCUGUCAAAACAAGAAGGUGGUGCACAUUUUCUAUUUGGGGACAGUCGCAUCAAGAAUCACGUCUUGAAUGAAGAGAACAGCAGUGGCGAUUGCUCUAAAACUACGCUACUGACUUUGAUGGGGAAACAGUGGGUGGUUCCACUGCUCAAAACUGGACGGUCAUUUGAUAAAAGCUGGGCCUUGUACCACCAAUCGGACGCCCAGCGUCUCUGGCGGUCUGUGGGGCAGUGGGCUGGCCUGGACACUCUGCUUCUGCAUGAUGAUUGGAUGAUCUGUCUGAGGUGGAAUCCAUUUCUGAUUGACAGUGAAAUGAGUGAAUCAGCCAUCUUGAAGUACAAACCAUUUUCCAAGUUUUUCACUUUGUCGUUGUGAACUGAUCCAGAGACUUUACCGAUCCUCAGUGACUUUGUCUGUGUUGCGUUAGGAGACUCUCUUCUGUCAUUUAGCGGUUUCUUUCCCCAACAAGCAGCAGCAGCUGCUGAUCUUCUCCCCUCUGUCACGAUCACUCAUACUCACAACCGGUCACUCAGUAGCCUCGCACAGCAACUUCAGCUGCUAGCAAGCGGCACAUCAUGGCAAAUACUAGAAUUAUCAUAUCAAUAGAUACAUUUUUGAAGGCCGGAGAAAAAUGAGAUUGCUCUCCUUGAAUGACCAGCAGCCGUCACUGGGUAAAAGUAACCUUAAAUGUUGGUUUAUCCCUUUCAUUUAUCAUUUGUAAGUAUUUAUAUGCAUUUCUGAAUGAAAUCCUCUGAAGAACAUCCUUACUGUAGUGGCUACCAAGAGAAGCAACUUUUGGUCUAAAUUUAGAACAACAGUAACACCCUUGGUGUUACUUUUUAUCAGACACUGGCUGUUAUUUUGCACAUUUGGGAUUCCCCACAAAGGUAAAUUCCCCAUUUUGGCUCCACAAGAUAAUGUUGCCAACACACACACACCUUUUCACAUAAAAACAGAUGUGGAGUGAAUUCCCGUUGGCAGCCGCAGCCUCUGAAUCAUCAGCUGGGAUUC